CAUUAUAUAACUUAAGAUUUAAAGUAAUAAUUUUUUAAAUUGUUAAUAGUAUAUUUACUUAUAAUGA
rnacentral:tRNA from 1 species